rnacentral:rRNA from 1 species
GAUGAACGCUAGCGGCAGGCUUAACACAUGCAAGUCGAGGGGUAACAGAGGUGCUUGCACUUGCUGACGACCGGCGCACGGGUGCGUAACGCGUAUAGAACCUACCUUUAACUAAGGGAUAGCCCAGAGAAAUUUGGAUUAAUACCUUAUAGUAUUGUUGUAAUGCAUAUUUUAACAAUUAAAGAUUUAUUGGUUAGAGAUGGCUAUGCGUCUUAUUAGCUAGUUGGUAAGGUAACGGCUUACCAAGGCAACGAUAAGUAGGGGUCCUGAGAGGGAGAUCCCCCACACUGGUACUGAGACACGGACCAGACUCCUACGGGAGGCAGCAGUGAGGAAUAUUGGACAAUGGAGGCAACUCUGAUCCAGCCAUGCCGCGUGUAGGAAGACUGCCCUAUGGGUUGUAAACUACUUUUAUAGAGGAAGAAAUAUAGGUAUGUAUAUUUAUUUGACGGUACUCUACGAAUAAGGAUCGGCUAACUCCG